GGAGGGUCCGAACUGUCUCAGCGGAGAAAGGGGACAUAGUGUGCUGGCGAGCGCUGGCUGUUGGCGUUAGAGCUCCGGCUGUGGCUCAGUCUGGGGCGCGGUUCUUGCCAACACACCAUGUCCAGAGACAGGUGACAAAAAAAAUUCAAAUUUCAAACCAGCUCUGGAUGGAAAUGAAAAACACAGGGUCCCACUUAUGUUAAGGCAGGCAUGUCUUUCGCCUUCUUACUCGCACCUUCCGCUAUGGAUUCGCUCUUCAGGGGGCACUGAGACAUCCUACAGUGCCCUGGACGGCCCACCCCAACCAUGGUAUCCGUUGUCCAACAGUUUUGGAUACCCCAGAAUCGGUCUCCCUUAUCCCCCCUUACAGCUUGGUGCACUACCCCCUUCUUACCUUAGAUAACUACUCCUCCAUUGUGAAAUGAAAACUAGGCAAAGGCGAAUUUCAUUUCAAACGUUAUAAACGGUAUGUAUUUAUUAAGCCGAAUCAAAAAUUCAUUGCCAGACAAAGUUCAAUCAAACGAAAAAAAAAGCAAAGAAAACAAAACAAGGAAUUGUAUAGUGGCAAUUAAAAAACUUCGUUUAUAUAAACUCCUCUCCUUCAAAGAGAAAAAUAGUAAUAAAAUUCUCCUUCCUCCACAGGUGUAUUGGGUCUUCUCAUGGUGUCUGGCCUUCCUUCAGGGUCGUCUCUCCUAACUGGAGUCAGUGCUGGAGCGGCUGAGCAGUGCCCACGCUUUCCUCUUGUCUGUCCGUCCGUCUGGUUGUGGCCUAAGUUCGCAAAGCGAACACCAACAGCAGUAAGGGCUCCUUUCCGCCCAAAAGGUCUAGAAUCUUUACCCCCUGGCCCUAGGUUGAGCUCGACCUAACAGCUGAGGACAGCGCCUAUUUAUUCUAGCGCUGUGUUACUAAUAGAAAGGAAAUAUGUGUGUCAAGGUCCUGUCCGUCCGUCUGAGUUCACGUAUACGUCCCGCAAUAGUGUUCGUGAGGAAAAGGGUACCUGCAGCACUGUCGGCUGACCAGUGCUUUUGAUAUAGAGCUUCCCACGAUGGACAGAGGAGGUGGAGGUGUAGCUUUAUGUUUUCGCGUUUGGC